UAAGACGUUGAUAGGCUGGGUGUGUAAGUGCAGCGAUGCAUUGAGCUAACCAGUACUAAUGAUCCGUGAGGCUUAACCUU
rnacentral:rRNA from 1 species